rnacentral:tRNA from 1 species
CAGAAAGUAGUUUAUGAGAACGGCGGCUUUGGGGGUUGCAGGUGGGAGAAAGACAUGCUCUCUUUUUUGA